rnacentral:rRNA from 1 species
CCUACGGGUGGCAGCAGUCGAGAAUCAUUCACAAUGGGGGAAACCCUGAUGGUGCGACGCCGCGUGGGGGAAUGAAGGUCUUCGGAUUGUAAACCCCUGUCAUGUGGGAGCAAAUUAAAAAGAUAGUACCACAAGAGGAAGAGACGGCUAACUCUGUGCCAGCAGCCGCGGUAAUACAGAGGUCUCAAGCGUUGUUCGGAAUCACUGGGCGUAAAGCGUGCGUAGGCUGUUUCGUAAGUCGUGUGUGAAAGGCGCGGGCUCAACCCGCGGACGGCACAUGAUACUGCGAGACUAGAGUAAUGGAGGGGGAACCGGAAGUCUCGGUGUAGCAGUGAAAUGCGUAGAUAUCGAGAGGAACACUCGUGGCGAAGGCGGGUUCCUGGACAUUAACUGACGCUGAGGCACGAAGGCCAGGGGAGCGAGAGGGAUUAGAUACCCUAGUAGUC